AAAAUACUUGUAUGCUUAAACAAAGUCUUGUCGCAAAGAGAAAGCCAAAUUUCAAGAGUUACUUGCACAGCUUUGGUUAUCUGUUUUGCCAUUAAUAAUUUAGCUUAACGAGUUGCCUACAUACCUCAUUAACAUUUCCUUCUACAUUACUCUAGUGAAUUAGUGUACGCGUCAAAAUAAUCCCAGAGGACAAUAGCAACGAGCAGUCAACAGCAACACAUGGCGAAUAAUUGCAAAUGCAGGCACAUCAAAGCAAUCAAAGCGUGGAAAUUCACCCUCAUUACAAUAUUUGUUGGCCAUUAUAUUGCUACACCACCAUAACAACAACAACGAAAGUCACCAACUGCCCAAAUAAUACCAAAUUAAUUAACGCAAUGCAAAUGACGAAAGAAAAGCAAAAAAAAAUGAAAAACCAAAAAAAAAAAA